GGUUCAAUGGUGUAAUGGUUAGCACUCUGGACUUUGAAUCCAGUGAUCCGAGUUCAAAUGUCGGUGGAACCU
rnacentral:tRNA from 1 species